UACGUAGGGUGCAAGCGUUGUCCGGAAUUAUUGGGCGUAAAGAGCUCGUAGGCGGUUUGUCGCGUCUGCUGUGAAAACUCGGGGCUUAACUCCGGGCCUGCAGUGGGUACGGGCAGACUAGAGUGCGGUAGGGGAGACUGGAAUUCCUGGUGUAGCGGUGAAAUGCGCAGAUAUCGGGAGGAACACCUGUGGCGAAAGCGGCGCACUGGACCAUAACUGACGCUGAGGCGCGAAAGCUAGGGGAGCAAACAGG
rnacentral:rRNA from 1 species